rfam:Mesocricetus auratus contig030289, whole genome shotgun sequence.
UGGCUCAGAGGUUAAGAGCACUGGCUGCUCUUCCAGAGGUCCUGAGUUCAAUUCUCAG